rnacentral:lncRNA from 1 species
UGUGGGCUUCUGGCCCUCAGAUCUGCCACCUCAAUUAAUGAGGGAGAUCUGAUGGCCCUUGUUUUUUUAAUUUCUUUUUAGUUUUUUAUUUUAUGUUAAUUGCUUUAUUUUGUUUAAUUCAUAUUAAUUUCAUUUUUAAUCCAGAAAAUAUAGGACUUUCACCAAAAAUCUAUCAAUAUUUUUCUCUUUCAUUUUCUGAAUUCAAAUUCAUUUUUGGAUUAAUUUUGAUAUUUUUCAUGAAUUAAAUGUUUUUGUGCAUAUUUUUAAUUGUUUAAA